rnacentral:rRNA from 1 species
UACGAGUGCCCCAAGCGUUAUCCGGAAUUACUGGGCGUAAAGGGUGUGUAGGUGGUUGUGUUAGUCUCUUGUUAAAUUCUUCGGCUCAACCGGGGGCAUGCGGGAGAAACGGCACUGACUAGAGGAUACGAGGGGUGAAUGGAACUCAUGGAGUAGGGGUGAAAUCCGUUGAUAUCAUGGGGAACACCAAAAGCGAAGGCAGUUCACUGGCGUACUCCUGACACUGAAACACGAAAGCGUAGGUAGCGAAUGGG